UACGAAGGCUGCGAGCGUUAUCCGGAUUUAUUGGGCUUAAAGGGUGCGUAGGCGGUCUUAUAAGUCAGUGGUGAAAUCCUAUCGCUUAACGAUAGACGUGCCAUUGAUACUGUAGGACUUGAGUACAGAUGCCGUUGGCGGAAUGUGUCAUGUAGCGGUGAAAUGCAUAGAUAUGACACAGAACACCGAUUGCGAAGGCAGCUGACGAAGCUGUAACUGACGCUGAGGCUCGAAAGCGUGGGGAUCAAACAGG
rnacentral:rRNA from 1 species